rnacentral:lncRNA from 10 species
GAGCAGACUUUGGGAGAAGAUACCACUUGGUGUACUGUGCCACCGUCCCAGCAUGAGACCAGAGCAGUUCUCAGUUUCCUGACACACUUGGGCUCUGUUUAUGAGAUGAUCCAUCAGGUUGUCUCAGAGUCUCCAUCCAGCCCUUCAGCAACCAGAGGCAUUCCAGGGACUUACAGUUUCAAGAUAUAAGACCUGGAGUCUGACCGGUAGACUAAACAUCCACUCCAGGCCCCUGCUAACCCCGAGGAAGAAGCCUGGAGGUAGAGGGAGGAGAAAUGAGAACAACUCAGGCCGGUGGCCAAGGUCAAUCCCCAGCUUCAAUAUCUCACCCCACGAUCGACCUCUUUCGCUGAAGUCAGGAGUGACAGCAAUUAACUCCUCCGCUGCACCGUCCCCAGGGCCAGAUGCCACGUGAGAGACCCCAGGCUGGAGCGAGAACCUACUUUGGGAGGAUUGAAAGCUACAAAGGACGUUUGGGUGACCUCCCCACAACACAAGGUGGGGUGGGGGGUUUCAACCCACACUGCCCCAUCUUGAAUCGCCAUGGAUGACCAAGUAGUUGAAACACGACGGGGGACUUAGGUGCCAGUCCUUCUAGGCAGAAGGGCCCUCUUGGGUUUUCAAUGAAAGGAAGAGUGUGAGGCAUUAAGAAGCCUGAGGAAGAGAGGAGAGAGGGGCUAGGGGCUCCCGCCUGGGAACAGGGAACUGCAAGAGGGCCUGUUCAGUGCUUUGGCCUAACUCGAAGUGGUGCCGCUAAGGUGACUGGUGUCCUGGUUUCCACCGGUCAUGGUUUGAUGAGCAUUUCUUCGAAGAUGUGAACUGCCUACCCCAACGGCCCAGCUCUUGGCCCAACAGUCUACACCACGCUCAAGAUUGUCAAGAGGUCAUUGUGCUUGUUGGAUGGCUAGUUAACUCUUUACUCACCACUUCUUCCCUGACCCUCUUCUUGUAAAUUUCUAAAACUAGCAAUACAAGAUUCAAAUCUAAAUCAUCAUACAGAACUGCAUGUUGGGCAGAAUAAUGGCCUCCAAAGUAUCCAUGUCCUAAUCUCCAGAACCUGUAAACAUGUUACCUUUCUUGGCAAAAGGGAAUUAAAUUUGCAGAUAAAAUUAAGGUUGCUAAUCGCCUGACCUUAAAGUAGAGAAACCAGCCUGGAUUAUCUAGGUGGGCCCAAUGUAAUUACAAGUCUCCUUUAAAGGGGAAGAGGGAAGCAGUAAAGAUGGUCAGAGGAUGAGAUGUAAGAGGGACUCGACCUGCCCUUGCUGAAGGAAGGGGGCCAUGAGCCACAGUAGUGUCCUCUAGAAGCUCUAAAAGUCAAGAAGAGAAUUCUCCCCUAAAGCCUUCUGAAAGGAACUCUGCCCUGCUGAUGCGUCAGUCUUAGCCCGGUGAGAUGCAUGGUAGACUACUAAUGGAACUGUAAGGUAAUACAUGUGUAUCAAUUUAUGAUAACUGCUUAUAAUAAUUUGUUAUAGCCACAGUAGAAAACAAAUAUACACCUAGAUAGGUUGAACACUCCUUGGCCUCAACACUCUGCUUAAUGUAAGAAGUACUCCUUCCCUUAGCACAAUGUAACCUAGUGGAAUGCAUUCUUCCUCAGGGCUGCUAGAGGCUGGAGCACACACAUGGCUUUCUACAAAAUUUAGGAAAGUGAGCAACGAUGGAACCCUAAUUGGAGAAAAUAUGUAAUCACUCAUCAAGUCCUCUUGGUACUAUCUGAGUAGAGAGAAAGCACAUGGGCUUUGGCAUCUAGCAGACAUUGGUUCAAAUCCUGGCUCUGACAUUUAAUGCCUGUGUGAUCUUGAGUGAGUUAGCCUCCCAGAUGUUCAAUUUCUUAAGGGACACAUCACACCUACCUCAUGGGGUUGUUGUUGUAAAGAGUAAAAGAGUAAAUAAAAUAAGGUGUAUAAAGUACCUAUCUCAGAGCCUGGGGGGCAAGAUAGAAAUCCAAUAAAUCAUGUUAUCUUCUACCUUCUUUGUAAUCAUUUCUCAGAUCUCUCCUGUUGUCUCCAAUCUCAUGACCCUGGAUUGAGUUAGUUUCAUCAUAUCUCUUGCCAGGACUGUUUUAACAGCUCCUAAAGGGCCGGCUCCAGACUCCAAUCCUUCUUCACAGCCUCUACAGCUAUCUUCCUAAAACAUAGAUUUUCUCAUAACACCUCUUCUGCUGUAAAACCGUCAGCAGCUCCCUGUGGCUUGUGGAUGAAAAAGUCUGAAGUUCUUUUCAAGGUUCGCGUGUAUAUUAGUCUGUUUGCGUUACUCUAAAGGAAUAUCUGAGACUGGAUAAUUAUUUUUUUGUUUAGGUAAGGCAGAUAAUGUGCUGAUGUAACAAGGUUCAAGGGUGGCAUAUCUCAUACAUGCUCAUGAACAGCCAAUCAUCACACUCUUGAACUACAAAAGAAUUGG